AGUAAUACCGCACUGAUAUGGGAAUGGAUCCAACGCCUCUAGAAGGAUAAUAUAGGCACUCCAUACCCUACUCCAACUCAAUACCUCCACGACGUACAGAAUGGUAACAUAUCCCUCCAAAUAUCUGUGCUUGGGUGUACGGGGAAACCCAACCCCUUGGGAAGAUGGGUUAUAUGGCUAAAUUGAACGGA
rnacentral:ribozyme from 1 species